CCUCCCUCUGUUUCGAAGCCCUAACCUUCAACAUCCAUGGCGGGUUCCUCGAGGCGAUCGUCAGAGGUCACCGCGCCGGCCUCCUCACCGCCGCCGACUACAAAAACCUCUGCUAGUUCGAAACCCUAGACGACAUCAAGAUGCAUCUCUCCGCCACCGAGUACGGCCCUUACCUCCAGAAUGGAUUUGGAUGACAUGAAUAUUGAAAUUAUGAGGAACACUCUGUACAAGGCAUACCUCGAGGAUUUCUACAAGUUUUGCCAGAAACUAGGUGGUGCGACUGCUGAGAUCAUGUCUGAUCUCCUUGCAUUUGAAGCUGAUAGAAGAGCUGUCAAUAUUACUAUAAACUGCUUGGUUAAUAUAUAUUUCUGUUGAUAUAUGGUGUUUUCAUGUGCUAGUUCUAGUCCUUCAUAUUGAUGAUACAUGCAGUUUAACAUGUAUCUACUACUUUGUUCCAGUUAUAAUCAGUCAUGAUAUGUACACAUUUCAUUUCCUAGGUGUCUGCACAUUUCAGUUAAAUAAAUCAUUCAUGAUUUUAUCGUGGUUUUCCGG